UCCUACNNNNNGCNGCAGUGGGGAAUAUUGCACAAUGGGCGAAAGCCUGAUGCAGCUAUGCCGCGUGUAUGAAGAAGGCCUUAGGGUUGUAAAGUACUUUCAACAAGAAAGAAAAGAUAAAAUCUAAUACAUUUUAUUAUUGACGUUACUUGUAAAAGAAGCACCGGCUAACUCCGUGCCAGCAGCCGCGGUAAUACGGAGGGUGCAAGCGUUAAUCGGAAUUACUGGGCGUAAAGAGCACGUAGGCUGUUAAUUAAGUCAGGUGUGAAAUCCCUAAGCUUAACUUAGGAACUGCAUUUGAAACUGAUUAACUUGAGUUUCGUAGAGGGGGGUAGAAUUCCAGGUGUAGCGGUGAAAUGCGUAGAUAUCUGGAGGAAUACCAGUGGCGAAGGCGACCCCCUGGACGAAUACUGACGCUCAGGUGCGAAAGCAUGGGGAGCAAACAGGAUUAGAUACCCUGGUAGUCCAUGCCGUAAACGAUGUCGACUUGAAGGUUGUAAGCUUGACUUAUAGCUUUCGUAGCUAACGCGUUAAGUCGACCGCCUGGGGAGUACGACCGCAAGGUUAAAACUCAAAUGAAUUGACGGGGGCCCGCACAAGCGGUGGAGCAUGUGGUUUAAUUCGAUGCAACGCGAAAAACCUUACCUGGUCUUGACAUCCAUGGAAUUUAAUAGAGAUAUUUUAGUGCCUUCGGGAACCAUGAGACAGGUGCUGCAUGGCUGUCGUCAGCUCGUGUUGUGAAAUGUUGGGUUAAGUCCCGCAACGAGCGCAACCCUUAUCCUUUGUUGCCAUCAGUUCGGCUGGGAACUCAAAGGAGACUGCCGGUGAUAAACCGGAGGAAGGUGAGGACGACGUCAAGUCAUCAUGGCCCUUACGACCAGGGCUACACACGUGCUACAAUGGUAUAUACAAAGGGAAGCAUCCUCGCAAGAGUAAGCGAAUCUCACAAAAUAUAUCUUAGUUCGGAUUGGAGUCUGCAACUCGACUCUAUGAAGUCGGAAUCGCUAGUAAUCGUAGAUCAGAAUGCUACGGUGAAUACGUUCCCGGGCCUUGUACACACCGCCCGUCACACCAUGGAAGUGGGUUGUAAAAGAAGCAAGUUGCUUAACCUUUAUUUUUUUUUAAGGAGGGCGCUUACCACUUUAUGAUUCAUAACUGGGGUGAAGUCGUAACA
rnacentral:rRNA from 1 species